rnacentral:rRNA from 1 species
CAGACCGCCAGCUAAGGUCCCAAAGUCAUGGUUAAGUGGGAAACGAUGUGGGAAGGCCCAGACAGCCAGGAUGUUGGCUUAGAAGCAGCCAUCAUUUAAAGAAAGCGUAAUAGCUCACUGGUCGAGUCGGCCUGCGCGGAAGAUGUAACGGGGCUAAACCAUGCACCGAAGCUGCGGCAGCGAACGUAUCACCCAAGACAACUUUACGGAGUUGACGAUUGACGGAGCGAAGCGACGUCAAAGCGUUCAUUAAAGUCGAGUUGGCUUAGGGAUACGUUCGUUGGGUAGGGGAGCGUUCUGUAAGCCUGUGAAGGUGUGUCGUGAGGCAUGCUGGAGGUAUCAGAAGUGCGAAUGCUGACAUAAGUAACGAUAAAGCGGGUGAAAAGCCCGCUCGCCGGAAGACCAAGGGUUCCUGUCCAACGUUAAUCGGGGCAGGGUGAGUCGACCCCUAAGGCGAGGCCGAAAGGCGUAGUCGAUGGGAAACGGGUUAAUAUUCCCGUACUUGGU